AUUGAACGCUGGCGGCAGGCCUAACACAUGCAAGUCGAGCGGAGCGGCGGACGGGUGAGUAAUGCCUAGGAAUCUGCCUGGUAGUGGGGGAUAACGUCCGGAAACGGGCGCUAAUACCGCAUACUAUCAGAUGAGCCGAGGUCGGAUGAGCUAGUUGGUGGGGUAAAGGCCUACCAAGGCGACGAUCCGUAAGUGGUCUGAGAGGAGGAUCAGUCACACUGGAACUGAGACACGGUCCAGACUCCUACGGGAGGCAGCAGUGGGGAAUAGUGGACAAGGGGGGAAAGCCGGAUCCUGCCAGGCCGCGUGUGUGAAGAAGGUUUUCGGAUUGUAAAGCACUUUAAGUUGGGAGGCGUGACCAACAUAAUAAGCACCGGCUAACUUCGUGCCAGCAGCCGCGGUAAUUC
rnacentral:rRNA from 1 species